rnacentral:rRNA from 1 species
GAUGAACGCUGGCGGCGUGCCUAAUACAUGCAAGUCGAGCGAACAGACGAGGAGCUUGCUCCUCUGACGUUAGCGGCGGACGGGUGAGUAACACGUGGAUAACCUACCUAUAAGACUGGGAUAACUUCGGGAAACCGGAGCUAAUACCGGAUAAUAUAUUGAACCGCAUGGUUCAAUAGUUAAAGACGGUUUUGCUGUCACUUAUAGAUUGAUCCGCGCCGCAUUAGCUAGUUGGUAAGGUAACGGCUUACCAAGGCAACGAUGCGUAGCCGACCUGAGAGGGUGAUCGGACACACUGGAACUGAGACACGGUCCAGACUCCUACGGGAGGAAGCAGUAGGGAAUCUUACGCAAUGGGCGAAAGCUUGACGGAGCAAAGCCGCGUGAGUGAUGAAGGUCUUCGGAUCGUAAAACUCUGUUAUUAGGGAAGAACAAAUGUGUAAGUAACUAUGCACGUAUUGACGGUACCUAAUCAGAAAGCCACGGCUAACUACGUG